UCAAGUGAAGAAGCGCAUACGGUGGAUGCCUUGGCAGUCAGAGGCGAUGAAAGACGUGGUAGCCUGCGAAAAGCUUCGGGGAGUCGGCAAACAGACUUUGAUCCGGAGAUGUCUGAAUGGGGGAACCCAGCCAUCAUAAGAUGGUUAUCUUGUACUGAAUACAUAGGUGCAAGAGGCGAACCAGGGGAACUGAAACAUCUAAGUACCCUGAGGAAAAGAAAUCAACCGAGAUUCCCUUAGUAGUGGCGAGCGAACGGGGACUAGCCCUUAAGUGGCUUUGAGAUUAGCGGAACGCUCUGGAAAGUGCGGCCAUAGUGGGUGAUAGCCCUGUACGCGAAAAUCUCUUGGUCAUGAAAUCGAGUAGGACGGAGCACGAGAAACUUUGUCUGAAUAUGGGGGGACCAUCCUCCAAGGCUAAAUACUACUGACUGACCGAUAGUGAACUAGUACCGUGAGGGAAAGGCGAAAAGAACCCCGGAGAGGGGAGUGAAAUAGAUCCUGAAACCGUAUGCGUACAAGCAGUGGGAGCAGACUUUGUUCUGUGACUGCGUACCUUUUGUAUAAUGGGUCAGCGACUUAUUUUCAGUGGCGAGCUUAACCGAAUAGGGGAGGCGUAGCGAAAGCGAGUCUUAAUAGGGCGUCUAGUCGCUGGGAAUAGACCCGAAACCGGGCGAUCUAUCCAUGGGCAGGUUGAAGGUUGGGUAACACUAACUGGAGGACCGAACCGACUACCGUUGAAAAGUUAGCGGAUGACCUGUGGAUCGGAGUGAAAGGCUAAUCAAGCUCGGAGAUAGCUGGUUCUCCUCGAAAGCUAUUUAGGUAGCGCCUCAUGUAUCACUGUAGGGGGUAGAGCACUGUUUCGGCUAGGGGGUCAUCCCGACUUACCAAACCGAUGCAAACUCCGAAUACCUACAAGUGCCGAGCAUGGGAGACACACGGCGGGUGCUAACGUCCGUCGUGAAAAGGGAAACAACCCAGACCGUCAGCUAAGGUCCCAAAGUUAUGGUUAAGUGGGAAACGAUGUGGGAAGGCUUAGACAGCUAGGAGGUUGGCUUAGAAGCAGCCACCCUUUAAAGAAAGCGUAAUAGCUCACUAGUCGAGUCGGCCUGCGCGGAAGAUGUAACGGGGCUCAAACCAUACACCGAAGCUACGGGUAUCAUCUUAGGAUGAUGCGGUAGAGGAGCGUUCUGUAAGCCUGUGAAGGUGAGUUGAGAAGCUUGCUGGAGGUAUCAGAAGUGCGAAUGCUGACAUGAGUAACGACAAUGGGUGUGAAAAACACCCACGCCGAAAGACCAAGGUUUCCUGCGCAACGUUAAUCGACGCAGGGUUAGUCGGUCCCUAAGGCGAGGCUGAAAAGCGUAGUCGAUGGAAAACAGGUUAAUAUUCCUGUACUUCUGGUUAUUGCGAUGGAGGGACGGAGAAGGCUAGGCCAGCUUGGCGUUGGUUGUCCAAGUUUAAGGUGGUAGGCUGAGAUCUUAGGUAAAUCCGGGAUCUUAAGGCCGAGAGCUGAUGACGAGUUGUCUUUUAGAUGACGAAGUGGUUGAUGCCAUGCUUCCAAGAAAAGCUUCUAAGCUUCAGGUAACCAGGAACCGUACCCCAAACCGACACAGGUGGUUGGGUAGAGAAUACCAAGGCGCUUGAGAGAACUCGGGUGAAGGAACUAGGCAAAAUGGCACCGUAACUUCGGGAGAAGGUGCGCCGGUGAGGGUGAAGGACUUGCUCCGUAAGCUCAUGCCGGUCGAAGAUACCAGGCCGCUGCGACUGUUUAUUAAAAACACAGCACUCUGCAAACACGAAAGUGGACGUAUAGGGUGUGACGCCUGCCCGGUGCCGGAAGGUUAAUUGAUGGGGUUAGCUAACGCGAAGCUCUUGAUCGAAGCCCCGGUAAACGGCGGCCGUAACUAUAACGGUCCUAAGGUAGCGAAAUUCCUUGUCGGGUAAGUUCCGACCUGCACGAAUGGCGUAACGAUGGCGGCGCUGUCUCCACCCGAGACUCAGUGAAAUUGAAAUCGCUGUGAAGAUGCAGUGUAUCCGCGGCUAGACGGAAAGACCCCGUGAACCUUUACUAUAGCUUUGCACUGGACUUUGAAUUUGCUUGUGUAGGAUAGGUGGGAGGCUUUGAAGCGUGGACGCCAGUUCGCGUGGAGCCAUCCUUGAAAUACCACCCUGGCAACUUUGAGGUUCUAACUCAGGUCCGUUAUCCGGAUCGAGGACAGUGUAUGGUGGGUAGUUUGACUGGGGCGGUCUCCUCCUAAAGAGUAACGGAGGAGUACGAAGGUGCGCUCAGACCGGUCGGAAAUCGGUCGUAGAGUAUAAAGGCAAAAGCGCGCUUGACUGCGAGACAGACACGUCGAGCAGGUACGAAAGUAGGUCUUAGUGAUCCGGUGGUUCUGUAUGGAAGGGCCAUCGCUCAACGGAUAAAAGGUACUCCGGGGAUAACAGGCUGAUACCGCCCAAGAGUUCAUAUCGACGGCGGUGUUUGGCACCUCGAUGUCGGCUCAUCACAUCCUGGGGCUGAAGCCGGUCCCAAGGGUAUGGCUGUUCGCCAUUUAAAGUGGUACGCGAGCUGGGUUUAGAACGUCGUGAGACAGUUCGGUCCCUAUCUGCCGUGGACGUUUGAGAUUUGAGAGGGGCUGCUCCUAGUACGAGAGGACCGGAGUGGACGAACCUCUGGUGUUCCGGUUGUCACGCCAGUGGCAUUGCCGGGUAGCUAUGUUCGGGAAAGAUAACCGCUGAAAGCAUCUAAGCGGGAAACUUGCCUCAAGAUGAGAUCUCACUGGAACCUUGAGUUCCCUGAAGGGCCGUCGAAGACUACGACGUUGAUAGGUUGGGUGUGUAAGCGCUGUGAGGCGUUGAGCUAACCAAUACUAAUUGCCCGUGAGUCUUGACCA
rnacentral:rRNA from 1 species